GACGAACGCUGGCGGCGUGCUUAACUCAUGCAAGUCGAACGGAAAGGCCCCUUUGGGGGUACUCGAGUGGCGAACGGGUGAGUAACACGUGAGUAACCUGCCCUUGACUUCGGGAUAACUUCAGGAAACUGGGGCUAAUACCGGAUAGGAAUCCUUGCUGCAUGGUGGGGGUUGGAAAGCUUCGGCGGUUUUGGAUGGACUCGCGGCUUAUCAGCUUGUUGGUGGGGUAGUGGCUUACCAAGGCUUCGACGGGUAGCCGGCCUGAGAGGGCGACCGGCCACAUUGGGACUGAGAUACGGCCCAGACUCCUACGGGAGGCAGCAGUGGGGAAUAUUGCACAAUGGGCGGAAGCCUGAUGCAGCAACGCCGCGUGCGGGAUGACGGCCUUCGGGUUGUAAACCGCUUUCAGCAGGGGCGAAGCUUGUGGUGACGGUACCUGCAGAAGAAGCACCGGCUAACUACGUG
rnacentral:rRNA from 1 species